rnacentral:rRNA from 1 species
UACAGAGGUCCCAAGCGUUGUUCGGAUUCACUGGGCGUAAAGGGUGCGUAGGUGGUGAGGUAAGUCUGAUGUGAAAUCCCCGCAGCUCAACUGCGGAACUGCAUCGGAUACUAUCUUGCUAGAGGGUUUGAGGGGGGACUGGAAUUCUCGGUGUAGCAGUGAAAUGCGUAGAUAUCGAGAGGAACACCAGUGGCGAAGGCGAGUCCCUGGAAAACUCCUGACACUGAGGCACGAAAGCUAGGGGAGCAAACAGG